GAAGGACUGCGCGGGGAGUGGUCUACGUGCGCCUGCACGAGUAGGGGUGGAGGAGUAGAACCACUAGUACUUCGAGAGGUAGCCCCCGAGGUAGAGGGACCUAGACCAGCGUCGGGGGUUAGAGUUGGUCGCUGCGGCCGGUGGUGGUGGGGAGAUAGUAGCAGGGAGCGGCCGGUGCUGCUCCAGGAGGGAGGCCGUAGCACCUAGAUCCAGGAGAAGAUUGGGUAUCUACCUAGGGUAGAUGAGUAGGUGUGGACGUGCGGGCUAGAUCCUAGAGGCUACGAGAAGGAGAGGAGUUCCCCGCACCGCCGGCGGGAAAGGGACGCCCAGCUCGCCCUUAUGUUGUAAGGGAGAAGAAGUGGCGCGGUUGCUGGCGGUGCUGGCACCACGUGCCUCUGCGCGGCGACCGGCGGCGUUGUACCACGCGUGAUUCUACGCGGCGAGCCUUCGCCGGUAUCACGUGUGCCUCUACGCGCUCGGGGACAAACCUCCCUGACGGUUCUCGCGCCGAUGUCGCUCGCUCGCGGAACCGUCGUAGCCGGGAGGGCGACGACAUGAGGGGGGUAGACUGAACGUAGACGGCCGCUGGCCUCCCAUGCUUUUGCCACACCUACGGGAGUUGUUGCCCUUACGACAUGCCCUUUUCACCGCUUCCCCUCUUUUCCUGGCGAAGGAGACGACGUCCAGUGGCCUCGAGUAGGAGACGUUCAGUGCCCUCCGCGCCACCGCGGUAAUGAAGUGACGGGCAGUAUCGCUGAAGAGAGGUGUCCCUUACGUCUCACGUUAUGUUUCCAAGUCGUGGUGAGACGGCGCGCGACCACCACUGGCUGGACGUGACACAGGGAACGUAGUAGAUGUUUGGUGAAAUUAAUGCGAUAUGAAUAAGCGUACAGUACGAUAUACUUGUACGUGACGCCAACACUAACAAUACGACCCUCGCUACAAGGAGUACCAGGGUCAUUACGACGAUCGUACCUUCUCCGUGAUCUAGGAACAACAGUGUAAGGAACUCGAGAGCAACUACCUCCUAUUUACCUUGUUCACUAGUAGAUCACCUCUGUUUCU
rnacentral:rRNA from 1 species